AGCAAGGUUGGGGAAAGGUUGCUGCAAACAUCACGUCCAACCAAGGAAAAAAAAAACAAGCCGAAUAGGUAGAGAAGAAGAGGAGGAGUAAGGGAAAAAAGGAGGGAAAAUAAUGAGACUUCUAUCGGGUUUAAGAUUCUAUCGAAGGGAGUCCUAUUAAUUGUUCGAGGUGACAAGAUGGUAUUUCAAAAAUUGUACAAGAAUGCAGGUGACGGUGAGGAUCUCGUUGGCUAGAGGAUUCGAGUAGCAUAUUCCUGGUGAGCCCCGCAAUUAUUCACGUGGGCUAUAGUUUAUUUAUUUGUUAUGUUUUUUUUCUUGAAAACUCUUAGUUUUCUCCAUAGUCAUGUCUAUAGAGUUUUGAGUCUUUCGUUAGUUUGGAAUAUUAAAUUUUUUCUCAUCUUUGGAGAUGGUUUUCGCAUUGUUAGUUAGUGGUACUGGUGAAUUGUUGAUGAUCUAUGGUGAGAUGUGUUGGUGUUUGUGUGGUGGUUGUGAUGUUAGGUUGUUUUGUGGUUGAAUUGAGACAGGAAAUUUUCUUGGUAGGCCCCAAAACAGGGGAAA